CGGACGGGUGAGUAAUGCCUAGGAAAUUGCCUUGAUGUGGGGGAUAACCAUUGGAAACGAUGGCUAAUACCGCAUAAUGCCUACGGGCCAAAGAGGGGGANCUUCGGACCUCUCGCGUCAAGAUAUGCCUAGGUGGGAUUAGCUAGUUGGUGAGGUAAUGGCUCACCAAGGCGACGAUCCCUAGCUGGUCUGAGAGGAUGAUCAGCCACACUGGAACUGAGACACGGUCCAGACUCCUACGGGAGGCAGCAGUGGGGAAUAUUGCACAAUGGGCGAAAGCCUGAUGCAGCCAUGCCGCGUGUAUGAAGAAGGCCUUCGGGUUGUAAAGUACUUUCAGUUGUGAGGAAGGGGGUANCGUUAAUAGCGUUAUCUCUUGACGUUAGCAACAGAAGAAGCACCGGCUAACUCCGUGCCAGCAGCCGCGGUAAUACGGAGGGUGCGAGCGUUAAUCGGAAUUACUGGGCGUAAAGCGCAUGCAGGUGGUUCAUUAAGUCAGAUGUGAAAGCCCGGGGCUCAACCUCGGAACUGCAUUUGAAACUGGUGAACUAGAGUACUGUAGAGGGGGGUAGAAUUUCNGGUGUAGCGGUGAAAUGCGUAGAGAUCUGAAGGAAUACCAGUGGCGAAGGCGGCCCCC
rnacentral:rRNA from 1 species